rnacentral:rRNA from 1 species
GUUCCGACCUGCACGAAUGGCGUAACGACUUCCCCGCUGUCUCCAACAUCGACUCAGCGAAAUUGAAUUGCCUGUCAAGAUGCAGGCUUCCCGCGGUUAGACGGAAAGACCCCGUGCACCUUUACUACAGCUUCGCACUGGCAUCAGGAUUGUGAUGUGCAGGAUAGGUGGUAGGCUUUGAAGCAGGAACGCCAGUUUCUGUGGAGCCUCCCUUGAGAUACCACCCUUCGCACUCUUGAUGUCUAACCGCGGUCCGUUAUCCGGAUCCGGGACCCUGCGUGGCGGGUAGUUUGACUGGGGCGGUCGCCUCCCAAAUGGUAACGGAGGCGCGCGAAGGUGGGCUCAGAGCGGUCGGAAAUCGCUCGUUGAGUGCA